rnacentral:rRNA from 1 species
AUUGAACGCUGGCGGCAGGCUUAACACAUGCAAGUCGAGCGGAGAGAGGUAGCUUGCUACUGAUCUUAGCGGCGGACGGGUGAGUAAUGCUUAGGAAUCUGCCUAUUAGUGGGGGACAACAUUUCGAAAGGAAUGCUAAUACCGCAUACGUCCUACGGGAGAAAGCAGGGGAUCUUCGGACCUUGCGCUAAUAGAUGAGCCUAAGUCGGAUUAGCUAGUUGGUGGGGUAAAGGCCUACCAAGGCGACGAUCUGUAGCGGGUCUGAGAAGAUGAUCCGCAACACUGGGACUGAGAAACGGCCCAGACGCCGACGGGAGGCAGCAGUGGGGAAUAUUGGAAAAUGGGCGCAAGCCUGAUCCAGCCAUGCCGCGUGUGUGAAGAAGGCCUUAUGGUUGUAAAGCACUUUAAGCGAGGAGGAGGCUACUUUAGUUAAUACCUAGAGAUAGUGGACGUUACUCGCAGAAUAAGCACCGGCUAACUCUGUGCCAGCCGCCGCCGUAACAC